rnacentral:rRNA from 1 species
GUGCCAGCCGCCGCGGUAAGACGAACCGUGCGAACGUUGUUCGGAAUCACUGGGCUUAAAGGGCGCGUAGGCGGGCCGGCCGGUCGGAGGUGAAAGCCCCCAGCUCAACUGGGGAAGCGCCCCCGAUACCGCCGGCCUGGAGGGGGGUAGGGGCGUGCGGAACUUCCGGUGGAGCGGUGAAAUGCGUAGAUAUCGGAAGGAACACCGGUGGCGAAGGCGGCACGCUGGGCCCGCCCUGACGCUGAGGCGCGAAAGCCAGGGGAGCGAACGGGAUUAGAUACCCUCGUAGUCC